GUUCUCUACACAUUCUCUUCUCAAGAAACGGCUUUCCCAGCCUUCUGCUGAAACCUCUGGCCAAAGAUAAUUGAUCUAAAAGAGGCCACCUGAUUGGACCAAUUUGGUCAAAUAACCAUCUUUAGAAUAAUCCUAUUGGUCAAUCAGAAUUGCUUAUUGGGGGAAUUUGGCUUGGGGAUUCUGGGAUUCUCUGAAGAUCAGGGAAGAGGCAGAAAUGCUUGGUGCAUGUGUGACUUAAGAAAACCACUCAGCCGAGAAGAGAAAAAUAAGCUGACAGAGGGAAGCAGGACCCUGAGGCCUCUUGGUGGCUUUCAGUUCAGGAACUGAGCCCCAUUCAGCCCCAUGGGAGCCCCACUGUUGUCUCUGCCCCUGGACUCUGUGAGACAAAUUUUUCUUUUUGCCUAAACCAACUUGAGCAAAUUGUGGCCAAACAGCCCCUGAUGAAGGCCUUUGGCUUUCUGGGACCUCAGUCCACUCAGCUGCAAAAUUGACUUACAGGAUCAUGUCAAUCGCCAGAUGCUGCAGAGCAGAGCAGCGGGUCCAGCUUCUGCAGGGAUGGAGUGCUGGCCCAGUCACUGCAGAGGAAAACAAUACAGCCAGUCAUGGAAGGCGGCAGCUGACUCACCAUGGAGGCUGCCCAUUACCCUGUGUGAGUCUAGAGGACCACUGACAGGCCCAAGGACCGGAAAAGCACCACUGACUUCUUCUAAGCUUGAAAAGAAGCCUCCUUGGCAGAUGACUAUAAGCAGUAUCAUCCUAACUGCUCAAUCCGACUAAAAGAAAGAACAAAGAAAAGAAAUGAAAAAUAGUGGGGGAGGAGGAGGGAGAGAAGAAAAGAAAAAAAGAAAGAAGAAAAACCCUCCAUAGACUAUGGCAUCAAAAACUCCAUUUACAAGCUCUGAGAAGAUCACAGGGUACAGGGGUGAUUUUGUGAAGAACAAAUUCUUUCAGGCUGAUCACCACCCAGCCUCCUGGGAGUUCAAGAGGGAGCGAUAGCUCCUUGUCUUCUGGAAGGAGAGAGGAUCUUCAAAGCAUUCUGUCCCCCUGGAAGGGCAGUGUGGUAUAAAAACAGGAGGUGGUUGUGGUGCCUGUAUUACUAUUAUUAUUUGACAGAAUUGUCUUUGAGAGAUUGUUCUCCUGCCUAAGAGGGAAAUUAGGCUGAGGGAGCGAAUUGUUUCUGCAAAUUUCUUCUUUAGAGAAAUUGGGCUCCUGGGGUAUGAAGAGACAUAGUGAGGGGGUCUAUGGUGGAUACCUCAGCAGGCAGACUCAUUACAUCUUAAUCUUUACCGAGAACCAACUGGAUGUGUGACCUUGUGAGAGGUUGAGUGGAACUAAAUUUGCUGUAACUCUCUUCAGAAAGGAUCAAAAUGAAUAGUGUACUCCUCACAUCAAAGCUUUUCCCAAGAGCACCACGCAAGGGCCACUUUCUUGCCCAUCUGGAGUCCCUGCCUUUUAAGUGAUCAGAACAGAUCCUGAAACACUCCCUUCUUCAAGAAUCAUGGUCAGAGCCAGGGCAAGAGGAGUGGUGACCCGCUUCAACCUUCCUUUGAAUAAAUGUGAGUCACUCAGAAUACUCCUUCAGCUCAUCAUGCCAGAAAUACAAUGGUUGAUGCCUUGUUCGCAAUCUGAAUCUUAAUUCCUCCCUACUGUAACACCUCUUUGAUCCCUUCCUUGUCAGGGGAUGAGACACGCGGGAGGAGUGAAAGUGCCAUGUAAUUUGGGCUUACUCCUUAAAGCACUGAAUCAUAAAAAAUAAACAAGGAGCCUGGUCGUACUACAUGCUUUCCUGCUGAAAUAAACAGAGGACAUUUCAUACUUGAAAUUUUAUGAUUCAGGCCAUCGUCUUGAAUGAGCAUUAUAUUGUGCGUUUGUAAUUCACAUACAGUGUGUAAUAAAAGGCUAAGUAGUGGUGAUUUCUGCCUGUCUGGCUGAUGCUUUUAAUGGAACCUGAUUUUUGAAGCAUUACAUGUUAUUAACUACUUUCUGUAAGUCUGCUCAGGACUAACCCUAUCAGGGUUAAUGAAGGAAGUGUUAAAAAGACAUGGCUCAAGGUAAGAAGCUCCAUUACAGAGAUCAAAAACCAUGUCAGUAAUUCAUUCCCAGCAUGGCUGUGAGCAAGGAGACUUGAAUAAAUGCUCUUUUGUGUAAUGAGGGUGGUGGCCAUGGCAGGGAGAGGCAUCAGUUAGGAUUCUUGGUGUGAGCAACAGAAACCAACUCUGGUAACUUGAGCCAGAAAGGGUAUUUAUGGGAAGAAUUCUAAGUGGGUACCAGUGUUUAAGGAAGAGCUGAACAACCAGGUCCCAGAAAGAACUAAGUGAAGGCUGCUCCCAUGAACUCAAAAACAGGACUCACGGCCCCCUCUCUAGGAUGCUGACAUACCAUCAUUCCACUGCAAUCACCUCCAGUGCCUGCGUGUCUCCACUCAAGAGCGGAUUCCUGGGAGAGGUGAUGGUGAUAUAAUUGGCCCAUUUGAGGCCAUGAGUCUAUCCCUGCACCAAGUAGAUGGAAUCCUGUAUUUGGCAGCCCCAUAAAACCCACAAAGAAUGAAGAAAGGUUAUCUCUCCCAAAGAAAGGAAUGUUGAGUGGACAAAAAUAACAGAUCUCCAUUAGAGACAGCCUCACUGACACAAAUCUACCCAUUUUCACAUUCCCUAAAGUCUAGACGCUCCUGGUUUCAUCUGAAUGUGUCUUCCUAUCCCAAGAACUGGCCUAUAACCUGUUCUUCCUUCAGAGGUCGUCAUAGGCAGAAUGUACUCCCCCGCCUGCUCCACAAAAAGGUCCAUGCCCUAAUUCCCAGAACCUAUGAAUAGGGGCCUUUGCAGCUGUGAUUCAGCUCAUGGACUAUAAAAUACAGCAAUUAGCCUGGUUUAUCCAGUGGGCCCACAUGAGUCAGGGAGAUUCAGGACAAGGAAAAGUUGGAGAAAUCCUGAGCAUGAGAGGAACAAGAUGCCCUGCUGCUGGAGAAGGGCCACAUGGAAAAUACAAGAAGGAAUUCAAGUAGCACUGAGGAACAAGGAUAAGCCUCUGACAGGCCAGCAGGAAACCAGGGACCCCAUCACACAACUGCAAGGAACUUGAUUUAGCCAACAACCUGAACGAGCCUAGAGCUGGGUUCAGACGUGGAAAUUCCAGAAAGGAACCCAGCCUGGACAUCUUAAUUUUACCCUCGAAGCAGAGAGCUCAAUAAGGCCACACACUCUACUUAAACUUCUCACCCACAGAGCUAUGAAAUGAAACUUUGUGUUGUUUUAAGCCACUAAAUUUGUGAUGAUUGGUUACAGCAGCAAUAAAAAACCAAUACAGAGCUCAUGUAGAGGUCUCACCCACUAUAGCAUUAAUGCCAGCAUCUUAUGAUUUUCUUGGUGACUCUCUGGGGGGAUAAUCUCUCUGGGUUUAUCAACUUGGCUCUAGUUCUUUUUCUGCAUCAUCA
rnacentral:lncRNA from 10 species